UGGGGAAUCUUGCACGAUGGGGGCAACCCUGAUGCAGCGACGCCGCGUGAACGAUGAAGCCCUUCGGGGUGUAAAGUUCUUUCGACAGGAACGAUAAUGACGGUACCUGGAGAAGAAGCUGCGGCUAACUACGUGCCAGCAGCCGCGGUAAUACGUAGGCAGCGAGCGUUGUUCGGAGUUACUGGGCGUAAAGAGUGCGUAGGCGGCGAGCCAAGUUUGGUGUGAAAUCUCCCGGCUUAACCGGGAGGGUGCGCCGAAAACUGGUUGGCUGGAGUAUGGGAGAGGAAAGCGGAAUUCCUGGUGUAGCGGUGAAAUGCGUAGAUAUCAGGAGGAACACCUGCGGUGUAGACAGCUUUCUGGACCAAAACUGACGCUGAGGCACGAAAGCGUGGGUAGCAAACA
rnacentral:rRNA from 1 species